rnacentral:rRNA from 1 species
UACGAGGUGCAAGCGUUAUCCGGAUUUACUGGGUUAAGGUAGUGUAGCGGCUAUUAAGUCAGUGGUGAAUCUCCGGCUCAACCUGGAAAUGGCAUUGGAUACUAUUUAGCUAGAGGGAGUGGAGGGGGGACUGGAAUUCUCGGAUGUAGCAGUGAAAUGCGUAGAUAUCGAGAGGAACACCCAGUGGCGAAGGCGAGUCCCUGGACACUUCCAUGACACUGGAGGCAACGAAAGCCUAGGGGAGCAAACAGG